rnacentral:siRNA from 1 species
UGUUUGGCAAGUUGUGUAAUCUG